AGUAAUCUCUUUUUUCCUUCAAUCUAGAGUAAAAUAGGAGGAAAAGCCCUCUUAUUUCAGCCCAGGAGAAAUAGUAUGCUAUUGUCCCAAAACAUCCUCAUUUGCACCCUCAGGUGCACAGAGGUAAAUCUGUUCUGCAGCUGGUCACACUGUAGGUGUCACAGCUACAUGUGGUUUCCAUCAGCUCAUCUGAGAUAUUGCUGCAAUUAGUAGUGUAAAUUAGAGUGGCUUUUAAUCUCCUCCUCUGCCUUUAUUUUGAGUUACAUUCUCUUUUGCUUCCACCUAAGUUUCAUCUUUGAGCCCUGAUUCACACUCAUAUAGGAAAUGUCAGCUAUUGUCUUGUAAGCUCGGUUUGCAGACUGGGAUAAGGGUUUGGAAGAAGGAGACUUCCCAGAAGACUGCAAGACCUCGCUGUAACACCACUUUGUCAGAUCUUCAUGAAAGGGUGCAGUGCUCUCAAGUGGAGAAAGCAAAAGAAACAUAAACAUGGACAUACAAGUAGAAAGAAAUACGGGCAGGUGCUGAGGCCUGAAGCCAUCAGUGUUUUGCUCCGCUGACUUGCUCUGCUGGGGGAACAUGCACCUCCUGAGAGAGAAGACCUUACCAGUCCCACUGCAGUUCUCAGCCCUAUGGCUUCCUCUCCUUCUACACUCUCCAUCCAUGCCAGCAGUCAGCUGCUGGAGCACACACCAGGCUUCCCCAAUCCGUUCUGAUGAUGACCAUGGAGUGCGAAUCCUACAGACCUCAUCUGAAUCCAGCACUGCAGCUUUCUCCAUUGGUUUUGCCAUCAUCUUAGCAAGAGAUAAAGCUGAAUAAUCCCCUAAGUGACACCACCCCACAUAUAAGGAGCACCCCAACUACUUGUUGAGAUGGGUGCUAGCCAGAAUAUGAUAUAGAUUGAUUUAGGUAUGCUUUGUGUAAAUACAAGUCAUUAGGCUCAAUACGGGAUGAAAUUUUAUGGCCUGGCUCAUGUUGGAGGUUGGGACCACAUGAUUUAAUGGUUCCUUCUGGCUUUAAAAUCCAUGUGCAGCAAAAAAUGCUUACACUAAUCUUAGCAAUGUUACGUUUUUCUUUCUAUUGUGCUGAUACUGUAGGUGUUUGUGUUACAGAGAUAUUGGAAGACUCUGCCCUGAAGGACAUGUGCAUCUGUAGAAACUGAACUUCAGACUCUGCUGCCUUUAGUAGAGUCUUUAAAUGGCUUUAGCAGUUUACAGAAUCCAAGUUUUCUCUCUGCUUAUUGAUGCAAAUAUCUGCAACAGCCAUGCUGAGUUCAUCCAGUCUGGGGCUAGGAACAGCCUCAUGGAACUCAUCUGUCCAGUGAGCUAAUAGACUUUUGCUAACUUGUAGGAGUUAAAAGUGUAGAGGAAAAAGAAAACAACACCCUCAAAUUGCAAAA